rnacentral:rRNA from 1 species
UCGGAAUUACUGGGCGUAAAGCGUGCGCAGGCGGUUCGUUGCGUCGGCGGUGAAAGCCCCGGGCUCAACCUGGGAAUGGCCGUUGAAACUGGCGGACUGGAGUGUGGCAGAGGGGGGUGGAAUUCCGCGUGUAGCAGUGAAAUGCGUAGAGAUGCGGAGGAACACCGAUGGCGAAGGCAGCCCCCUGGGCUAACACUGACGCUCAGGCACGAAAGCGUGGGGAGCAAACAGG